AUACUGCAUGGGGGCAACGUGAGUGCUCGGGAAAGCAACUCUCUACGAUUCACAGUGGACUUCCCACUGAGAAACAUUUGGGUUUCAAAGACACACCUUUAGGGUGUCAUACAUUUGUAUUCUUAUUGUCUCAAAGCAAACUGUAUAUGAAAUGCUACAUGCACAAAGAAUCUAAAAUCUGUAUCUUAUUUGUUUUUCAUUGAAAUAUCUCAUUGCAAGUGGUUACAAUGGUCUCACCCAUAUAACAACAGAAUACAAUGUUAAAGUAUAUGUGAAACUUCAUUCAAUGUUAAUAGACACCUCCCAUUCCAAGCAUAAACCAAUCACCCACUGUAUACAGAUUAAGGACAGCCCUUAGUUUUACAACAACCAAUCAGUACCAAAUUCCUAUAUGCUUUGUUCUCUGGUUAUUUAAGGAGAUGUGUACAAGAUUUAGGCGGGACUUUCAAUAUCUAGAAAUGCACCCCAUGAUGCUGUAUCUUUGAUAUAGCAUCAUGUAUUUUUAUUUUAUUUUGAGGAAUCUGUAACCAGAUCUUCAUCUCCUUACCAGGUAUGCAACGGGUUUUCGUUUGUUUCGUAUUUGAAUUGGAAUGUAAAUUGGCUUCUGAAUUAUGUUUUACCUACCUGGUUAAUAAAUUGUUAUGUUUGGAUUUAUUCUGCGGCUACGAAAGUUAUUGACAUGAUUAGUAAAUUACGAUGUAUCCUUGUUUCCGCAACGUCUGGAAAUCAGGCUAGUUUUUUACGGACUAAAAUCCCAGACUAGAUGGCAUAGUAGUACAUCAGCGGAGGAUUUUAGAGAUCCGACUAGCACUUGGCGCUAGUUUAAGUUAAAUUAGAUGCGUGGAGGCUAAUUUCCUGUUUAGAGUAACAUGUAAAUGUUGUCUGACCACUCUAAAUCAGACGAGCCUCAACCUCUGGUUAUUUCAAUAUUAAUCUAUCUAAGUUGCAUAUUAAGUUAUGUCACGAUUAUACAAAGCUAUCAUUGGAGAAGACGGUCAGUUUGUUUUAUGAUAGUGGUCGUGAGCCUCUGGUUAGAAACAAAUAUUGUAAUAAUUAAGUUGCACCUCUAUGGGGACUAAAUAAAGUAUGUUCAGAGAUGAGCACGCAUGAAAGGCGGCCUUCUGAACAUAUGGUCAAACCUCUAGCAGCGACCAAGCCUGAUUCGGUUGUGAUCGUGGGCCCGCAUGAUUAUUAAAUAUUAAUAAACGGCCGGUGCGUGAGUCCAAAGCGACAUGAGUAGCCGAAUGAACGGAUGCAAUAACAAGUAGGGCUAAACAAGAAUAACCAAACAUCCACCCAAAUUCUGUAACUAUUAAAAGUAAUCAUCAAUCCAAUUAAUAUUAACAUUAUCUUGGAGUCAGAUAAUAAUACAAAAUUGCAUAAAUGCCAAAACGUCACUUGCAAGCGCCGGAAAAGACUGAACGCGCUAUUACCCUUCGUUUGGAUUCCGUCGUUGGGCCAAACGGAUGGAUGGGGCCACACUUUGCCCCUUACAAAGUGGUGAUCCUGACGUGAUAUUCAACCAGUGAGAAACCUCAUCAAAAUGCGAUUGAUGCGAUCCCUGGAGAAUAAGAGUCUUUUCAUGGAGCUAAAGGUUUGAACUUCUUCUAUUUCUUCAGCUGAUGUGGUUGAAAGCUGUAAAUCCUGGCCAGAGAUGUCUGGCCACAUCAGACAAGACAGCAAACCCUGCAGAAAAGCAAUCUAGAAAACGGAGGAUGGGUGUGAAGACAUUCAAAGGCCAUUUUACACCUCACAACACUAUACCAUCAUGAAUAGACAUGGCCUCAAAAUUUGCAACACUAAUUGUUAGAGAUAAAAUCCACCCAUCUUCCAGACAAAAACUGACUGUACAGCACACACAUUGACUAAAACAAUCUCGUAACACAUCUGGUAUAGACGUAAAGACUAUCCAGACAUAAACACUACACACCACACAACAUAUUCCAAACUUAACACUACAUUUAAAACCAACAUUCUCCUGUUACACAAACAGGGACAUCUAAUCCAACACAAAUUCUAAGUGAUAUCAUUCACACCCAUAUUAGCAAAACUACAACAUUCAUAAGAAACUUACUUGGCAAAGUCACACUUUGAUGAUUAUGUUUCUAAUUGCAAUAACAAACUUACUGUCUAAAUCUCAAAUCAAUAAUCUGACUGUUGUUGUCAUAAGUGAGGACCAGUUGGCGCCCUGAUCCUCAAUUUAUCACUAAAUAACAGCACAAACAAUUUUCAAGAAUCAAUCAAACCAUUUACAUCUCAACUCCCAAUAUCAAAUGUGACUUAGCCAACAUAUCACAUACACACCUAUAUAAGUAUUCACAUAUCUCUACACUCGUACACCUACUUAUACAUGCAAACACAUUGAAAUCUGAGAUUCUAAAUCUUCAAGUCUAUGGACUACACAUACUCAUAAACACGCCUAUACACACAAGCACAUACAUAUACACAUACAUAUAUACAUAGGCACAUACCUGCACACAUAGAAAUCUAACAUGAGAUUCUGAAUCUUCAAUUGUGCUCAUGGACUCAACAUGUCCUGAACAUAUUCUUAAAAUAAUCUUAGGCCUACAAGGUGCUUAUACUAAGAGAAUUCAGAAUUCCCUCGAAACAUUCAUUAUGGAUGUGUGUAUGGAACGAUUACACAAUUAUGCGCCUAUUAUUAUUAUUAUUAUUAUUAUUAUUAUUAUUAUUAUUAUAUGGGCUACCAUGCCCAUACCUAAAUCUAUUAUAGCAAUAUUUUACUAUCACGUUAAUUGAUACACCCUAUAGUAUGCAUAACCAAAAUUUUAUUUCAACACCUUCUGGUUUUUUAUUUUAUUUUUUAUUUUUACAUGACCCAAUAUGCAUACCUGUAUGUUAUUUUAACACCUUCUGGUUUUUAUUUUUCCACAUGACCCCAAUAUAUGCAUACCUGAAGAAGGUUAUUUUUACAUUUUCUGGGUUUUAUUUUAUACAAUCUAUAAUAUGCAUACCUGAAGAUCAUUUUAACAAUUUCUGGGUUUUAUCUUCAUACAAUCUGUAACAUGCAUACCUCAAGGUUAUUUUAACAUUUCAUUUUCUGGGUUUUAUUUGUGUAAUAUGCAUACCUCAAUGUUAUGCCUUGUUUUAACCUGAUCUUUUGCAUCUUCUUCUUCAAUAUCCAGAGACCAAGUACAUUUAAAUUCAACUAAACUCCAAAUACAACAGUGGGAAAGAACAUUGGUAAUUUUAUAGAUCAAAUAUCUUUGACCUGGUGAGACCGUACCACUUGCACUUUUAACAUCAAGGUAUCAUGUGUUAUGUUUUUAUUUAUUUUAUUUAUGGUUUGCCCUAUGAAUCUCUUGAUAAUGUUGCUGAGUCUAUCAGUAUUGAUCAAUGUUCAAUCAAUGAAUGGUCCUUAAGAAUGUGCAGGUGUUUCACACAGUGAUGUAUUGUCAAUGACAUGAUCCCCACCUGACGAUGUCUGAAAUCAGAGAUGAUCACCGUUCAGAGGUGACAACUUUCUUCAAAUGGAUAGAACGUCUAAGAACAGGUGGUUUUUCGCAAAAGAAUGGGACAUUCAUUGAACAAAGCACACGGGUCUUGGUUGACACACUGAACUUGAAAACUACGAACACUACAGAGAUUGGACACCACCAAGAGCUAACAUCUUACUGUAUGUUGAUCCCAUCGGGACUGUUAUGUUCUCCGAUAUGAUCAAGCGGCGGAGCUGUAAGACAAUUUCCUGAAUAAAUAUAGCACCUCCCCAAAGGAUACUGCAUGGGGGCAACGUGAGUGCUCGGGAAAGCAACUCUCUACGAUUCACAGUGGACUUCCCACUGAGAAACAUUUGGGUUUCAAAGACACACCUUUAGGGUGUCAUACAUUUGUAUUCUUAUUGUCUCAAAGCAAACUGUAUAUGAAAUGCUACAUGCACAAAGAAUCUAAAAUCUGUAUCUUAUUUGUUUUUCAUUGAAAUAUCUCAUUGCAAGUGGUUACAAUGGUCUCACCCAUAUAACAACAGAAUACAAUGUUAAAGUAUAUGUGAAACUUCAUUCAAUGUUAAUAGACACCUCCCAUUCCAAGCAUAAACCAAUCACCCACUGUAUACAGAUUAAGGACAGCCCUUAGUUUUACAACAACCAAUCAGUACCAAAUUCCUAUAUGCUUUGUUCUCUGGUUAUUUAAGGAGAUGUGUACAAGAUUUAGGCGGGACUUUCAAUAUCUAGAAAUGCACCCCAUGAUGCUGUAUCUUUGAUAUAGCAUCAUGUAUUUUUAUUUUAUUUUGAGGAAUCUGUAACCAGAUCUUCAUCUCCUUACCAGGUAUGCAACGGUUUUUCGUUUGUUUCGUAUUUGAAUUGGAAUGUAAAUUGGCUUCUGAAUUAUGUUUUACCUACCUGGUUAAUAAAUUGUUAUGUUUGGAUUUAUUCUGCGGCUACGAAAGUUAUUGACAUGAUUAGUAAAUUACGAUGUAUCCUUGUUUCCGCAACGUCUGGAAAUCAGGCUAGUUUUUUACGGACUAAAAUCCCAGACUAGAUGGCAUAGUAGUACAUCAGCGGAGGAUUUUAGAGAUCCGACUAGCACUUGGCGCUAGUUUAAGUUAAAUUAGAUGCGUGGAGGCUAAUUUCCUGUUUAGAGUAACAUGUAAAUGUUGUCUGACCACUCUAAAUCAGACGAGCCUCAACCUCUGGUUAUUUCAAUAUUAAUCUAUCUAAGUUGCAUAUUAAGUUAUGUCACGAUUAUACAAAGCUAUCAUUGGAGAAGACGGUCAGUUUGUUUUAUGAUAGUGGUCGUGAGCCUCUGGUUAGAAACAAAUAUUGUAAUAAUUAAGUUGCACCUCUAUGGGGACUAAAUAAAGUAUGUUCAGAGAUGAGCACGCAUGAAAGGCGGCCUUCUGAACAUAUGGUCUAACCUCUAGCAGCGACCAAGCCUGAUUCGGUUGUGAUCGUGGGCCCGCAUGAUUAUUAAAUAUUAAUAAACGGCCGGUGCGUGAGUCCAAAGCGACAUGAGUAGCCGAAUGAACGGAUGCAAUAACAAGUAGGGCUAAACAAGAAUAACCAAACAUCCACCCAAAUUCUGUAACUGUUAAAAGUAAUCAUCAAU